rnacentral:lncRNA from 1 species
AGUUUGGCCUGCAAACAAAUUUAGUUCAUUUCAGUAGGAGGUAACAAAGCUUUCUGUACCUGCCUUCUUCUGGUGUAGUUCUUGUUUGCACUUUAUUUCUCUGCAAUGUCAUGGGGGGAAGCCAGGUAAUAAAUAGAGACAGAUAGUAAACAGACUCCUAAGUAUUUAAUGGGGUUGGUCGGAUUUACGGCUCCAGUGUCGUAACACAGAAUUACCCAAUUCCUUCAGCUGCUUAGUAAGUUUCACAUUAUCACACAAAUCAAGGGUGACUCUCUUAAAGUUGUGGUGAUCAUCUGAAUGCUUUUCUUCAUUAGAUGUCAAAGUAGGAGAAAGACAACUAUUUUGGAAGGUUCUCAGACGUGAAACACUGGAAGAUAUCUGUGAAUCUACCUCCCACUCUCUAUCACCAUGCCCAGGAAUGUAUUUCCUUUGUUAUAUUGACACUGGCAACUCCCAGAUCUGAUUGCCUUGAUGUAGCCUGGAGCUACGAGAGGUCCUUAGAAUCUGUUCUUGCCAGUGGCCCCUUUGCAGAAUUAAUAAAAAAUCUUAUGCACAGUAAUAGCAAAGCUUUGCUCCCUCUACUUGACUUUUGGGAAAGCUUGGCUCAUUGGUAAACAUGUAAUGUUCUUUAUAUUAAAACAGAGUUCUGAUACUCUCAGAGUUGGGGCAAAUUGUUAGCCUUUCACCAAAACUUGAAAGGCUUUCUACGUUAAGAUCCAAGCUCCUGCCUUAUAAAUAUUCUGAAUUACAGUCAAUUUUGGAAUACUCUUGUGGCAGAGAAAGUAACAUGCACCAAAUAGUCCAGGCUUGUGUUGAGUUAGAGCCAUGCGACAAGUUCUGGCCAAUAAUAUAUGUGUGCGAGUGAUACAUGCCCCUUCUGACAGAAGCAGUGAAAAAUUUAUGAACAAUAUUUUAGUUUUCUUUCCUCUACUAUGGCAACUUAAGUUGUGUGAGCCAGAUAAUGGAGUUUCAGGAUGAUGGUUCCUACUCAGCCUGGGUCCCUGAGUGACUGUAUGGAAUAAAGCUCUGCCGACACUUGUUAGACAUGACCAUGUGUAACAAAUAAGCCUUUGUUAAGCCACUGACCAUUUGGAGUAAUCUGUUACAACUGCAGAACAGAGCAUAUCCUGAUUAACAGAAUUCCUACUUCCCAAAUUUCUGCUUCCUUUCCUGGCUGCAUAAUUUGUCCAAGCUGUCUGUCAUCUACAUACUCCUUUACCCUAUUUAUGGCUUAUACUAUCUCAUCUGACCUUCAUGGUCUAUCCUAAACGUCAUCUCCUUCCCAAGGAUCUCCGGUUUCCAGUUGGAUGGGAUACCCUCCUCUUCUCUGCUAAUAGAAAGAGUAGUAUACCUCUCUUAAGGCAAUCAUCUCAUUUGCUUCUCUUCCUCAUCCAUUUAACUUAGAGCUCCUGGAAGGUGAAGACCAUGUUUGAUUCACCCAAACACCCCAAGGCCCCAGCUGAACAUUUUGUGGUAGCUACAGGUGGAUAUUAUUUAGUUUGAAUUGAGUUUUCUCCUGAGGUUAGCAAUGCGUAGGCCAAUGUAGACAGCAAUGUGAAAUGAUUUUAAAUAAGUUAUCUGCCUGAAACAUAGCAACAGGGAGAGAAGAAAACAAAAAAAAAAACCCUUUACAUGAGUAAGUGUAAUUCUCAGAAAAUAAGAGAAAUAGCAUAUCAGAAAAAGACAUAGGAAGCAAAAGUGAUGCUUGCUGAAGAACAUCAGAAUGGGAAUUAGGAAACAAACUUCUAGAUUUGACUCCUUUGAAAACUAAUUCUGUGAUCUCUCUGGAACUCAGGUUCUUCAUCUUGUACGUGGGAUCAGAGGCUGGACGAUAAAUUAAUUAAGGUAUUUCAUUCUGGAAUUUUACUUACAGAAACCCCAGGUGCUGAGAUGUUUUCCAGGACUAGGAUGAAGUCUCCAUCUUGUGGCUAAAUUAAGUUCUGCAGUCACUCAACAUUAUGAACGUCAAGAUCCAAGUCAAUUUAGUGGAGCAGCGUAGAUUAGGUCAAUAGCUUCUGUGAGAAACAGAAACACAUCUUCUUAAUGCAAAUGCAGCAGGACAGGUUCAUUCGCAGCCAUUUGGAAAGGAAUUUAAACUUGGACAACGAACUGUGCAAAUAUAUUUAUUCAUUCUUUUACUAAAGAGAGGGCCUGUCUUAUCUUUUCCAGACUUGCAUUCCUUGGCUUGUGGCCCCUUCCUCCUUCUUCAAAGCCAGCAAUGUAGCAUCUUGCUUCAGCCCUCACAUUGCCUCAUUCUUAUCUGUCAAAUCUCUCUCUGCCUCACUCUUAUAAGGACACCUAGGUGAUCCAGAAUACUCCCAUCUCAAGAAUUUUUAAUUUAAUCACUUUUACCAUAUAACAUCCGCAGUUUCCAGAGAUUAGGAUCUGGAUAUCUUUGGAGACCAUUAUUAGUCUACCACUGGGAGAAAGUGAAGGGGGCUGGGGAAAGUGUUUCCAGGAACACAGUAGUCUGUCCAGCGCCCCUUCCACCACUAUCAUUGGUGAGAUCGUUGGUAGCAGCUGUGAGGUGUGAUAGAGACUGACUUUUCUCCAGUUCCAGGGGCUCCAACUGGCAAAAGCUCAUAACUGUUAUCAUCCCCCUGACUUCAGUGAUCUGCUCAGGAAAGGGCACUUGAACAAAUUCAGACCAGCUCAGGAGCCUCUACCCUCCACCCCCGUAGUUGUGGAAAAAGUUUUCAUAUCAGCUAUUCUGGAGGUAGCAAAAAGAAGGCCAAAAGAUUACAGCCCUUUUUGUUUGUUUGUUUGCUUGUAAGCCUUGUGGUUCUAUUUGACUUUUUAAAUUAUGCGCAUGAAUUACUUGGAGACAUUUUUUAAAUUGAAGUGGAAAAAAUAAUUUAAAAGGGAAAACUAACUAAAGUAAUAUAAUUUCAGAGUAUUGAUUAUUGUCCAGAAUAUGCUUUGUUUUAUUAUUUUGCUAAUAAAAUUAAAUUCACUGUACAUUGUUCCAGAAGUAUGUUGACUCUAAGGAAAAUGUUUUAAAUGGAAUAGCCUGAGGAUAUCAUUGUGGGGAAGUAUUGGAUGUCCUUGAUCUUUUCUGUUCAUUGUAGAUGUUUUCUAGAAGACAGCACAUCUUAAAGAUAUUUCAGGCUUCUUAUGAAGGAAACAGUAAACCUUUUACAAACUAUAUUUUCCAAUUUUCUUGUCUUUUCUUGAAGUACCACUGUACAACUCUUGUUGGAGAGCUACUGUAAUUAUUUGUGACAUGUUUUUCUUUGGCCAAUUCUCUAUGGCUUCUACUCAGUACAGCCACCUCAUAAGAACAUGAGAUCACCCUCUCUGCACGUGGCUUUUGGAAGCUGCCAUAACUUCAUGGGUUCAAAGCUGGGUUCUCUUGGGACCUGCUUCCAUGCAAUGGCAGUCAGUUCAUCAUCUGCUGUGGUUCAUUCCCUCAGCUUUUGACUCGGUCCUGGGUGUGCCUGAAAGAGAACCCUCUUCCCUCAUUGCUGUCCUGAAAAACAAAACCCUCUUCUAGUUCUCACUAGAAGAGUGACAUAUUGUUUUGGGGGAGGAAAGUAGUGUCUCCAUGUGUCACCUCGUUUCUCUCCAGGCACACAGUGCUCCAAGGUAAGGGAUGCUUACAAGCUAUAUGACAAUGAAUGCACAAAUUAUUCAAAGUGAAAGGGUUUUAAAGAUCAGUGAGUUCAAUGUCUCCUCAAAUGCGAAAAUGCCUGUCAGAAACUCCCUGACACAUCAUCAUCUUGCAUCAGAUACAGUAUUUCCAGUUAUAGGAAAGUCAUGACUGAAAUGCAUGGAAUCAGAUUUUUCAGAUUGAGAGGUCUAAAGUAGUAUUUCUCAAUGUGAUGUCAGUGGAACACUUGCAGCAGGGUCACCUGGGAUGUUCAUUUAGGAUUCAGAUCCUUGGGCCCUGUCACCUACUGAACCAUGCUGUCCAGGGAUAAAAUCCAAGCAUAUGCCUAGAAGAAAGACUUAUUAACUACACUGAAGAUUGAGAUUAAUUGUACUAGACUAACUCUCCUAUACAAUUCUCAAAAAACCUUGACAUCUAUUUGUUGAAUGUUAUGGCUUCUCCCUAGAAAAAGCCAGAUGUGUGCCUAAGUUGCCUGCUCCCCCACCCCCUGACAUUAUCAUAUAUUUAAUUAGAAAAGUCAAUGCCAUUGACUUUUUAAAGCCAAGGGCCUCCUAGAAUUAUGUUUUGCAAAAUGUGCUAUACACAUUGCUUAUGGUAUAUCAAGUAGUCCACAUAUGGUUAGGCAGUUUUGGAGAUAAAAAUGAUGAAACAAUCCUAUUUACACAUGUUUUAUAAAUUUGAAAUGUAAUAUUAAUUAUACUUUUUAAAUUCCACUGCAUUUUAAUGAUUAUAUCAUAAAAGUUGUAAAUGUGCUCCAAGAACUGCGUUGGUAAAUUUGUUUCAGCUGUCAUUCAGCUAACAGAGUCUUGUGAAAAUUUUCCAAUGUCACUUGUAUUCUAUUAGUUGUGAUUCUUGUUCUUAAAUUGCUGCGUGGAAACUAAUCUAUGGUGACAAUAAUCAGGGCUUGGGAAGGCUUGAUUGUAAACAGGCUCAUGACCCUGGGAACUUUUGGGGAUGCAGCAAUUAUUUUCUUAUAUUGAUUAUGUUGGUAGUUCCAUGGAUGUAGCUUGCCAAAACUCAUUAAACGAUACACUUCGAAUGAAUGCAUUUUAUCAUAUGUAAGUGAGACCUUGGUAAAGUUGAUUUUAAAAUGUGAAGUGUUGGCUGGGCGCAGUGGCUCAUGCCUGUAAUCCCAGCACUUUGGGAGACGGGGGGUGGGGGCGGGGGUGGAUCACGAGGUCAAGAGAUCGAGACCAUCCGAGAAACUCCGUCUCAAAACAAAACAAAACAAAACAAAACAAAAACAAUAAGACGUGAAGUGUUAUAAUACCAAUUUACAAGAAAGCAUAUCAAAAAUGACUCAUUGAAGCAGGUGGUUAGUGAUUAAAAAUUUAAUGAAUAUACUACAAAUCAGAAAAAUACACUAGAUGUAAAUAAUAAAUAGAGCACCUGUGAAGACAGAGGUUGAUCUGUAUAUGCUGAGAGAAAUGAAGAUACAAGAGAAAUGAUGUCACCAGCUGAAAUGCUGUCACAUUGUUGUCUUCAUUCUUUUAGAAGAACUAAAGAAAUAAAAGAAUGAGCAUCUGAAAAUUAGAUUGUAUUGAUAAACAUUGAUCCAUUCACCCACCAGUCCCAUUGUGUUCUGUUACAAAGUUUUUCAAAAUGGCAUUGUGAAAUCUUUCAAGGGUUUGUGAAAAAUAAGGUAUAGCAUCUCUUUGGUGAGCCAAAUGAGUUUUUCUAAAAUAAGCUUGGUAAUUUUCACCCUAAAGUUGAUGUAUUUUAGUGUAAAAAAUGAAGAGGUAGUGAAGUGUAAUGGAGGGUGGGAGCCAGGCUCCUCACUGUUGGAGUGGGAAGUUACAGACGAGCAAAGGGAGGAGGCUAGAAUAAUCCAUGGGUAAUUGAUUAGAGUGGGAGACAUCUGUAUAAACUCAUAUUUAGCUUAAUAUAUAAAUAGUACAUGAAUAUUUAUAGAUGUAUCUGUACAUGGGUUAUAUAGAUACGUGUAUACAUGUAUUUCUCUAUUUUGUCAGCUGAGAGGAACUAGAGGUAAUAAAUGACACCCAAGUAGUAGCAAGUAAAGUUAGAACUCAGAUCCUGGUUUCUAAUACCAUUCUCUGAUAGAAGGAAUGAGGGCUCCUUGGAGCAAUGGAUGAUUCUAAGGAUGGAGGAGAAACAUCUUGCAAUGCUAGUAAUAAGGAAAUGCACAGAAAAACUGACACUGAUGGGCCUAUGCCAAGGAUACAGGAACUGACAGAAAGCUCCCAAUGGCCAAAGGCAGAACAAGCUGUGCAACAAAAUAAACAAAGUGGUACUGAAUUAUAACCCAAUAUAUAAAAUAAAUAUUGAUGGGUCUACACUGAUAUAAACAAAAUGACUGCAUAAAUAAAUAAAUGGAGAAGAAUAGCCAAAUCUCCAGUGCAGAAGAAUUUCAAAUAAUUUAUGCAGAUACUGUGAGGGUUAAUUUUGUGUGCUAACUUGGAGGAUGUUUUCAGAUGUGAUUAGCAUUUAAAUGGGUGCACUUUGAGUAAAGCAGAUUGUCCUCCAUUAUAUGGGUGGGUCUCAUCCAAUUAGUCGAACCAUGAAUCAAACCAAAAGACUGCCCUCCCCAAGCAGGAAGGAAUUCUUCAGUGGACUGCCUUUGGACUUCAUCUAUAUUCUUGGCUUACCUGAGUCUUGAGCCUGACAACCCACACUGCAGAUUUUUGACUUCCUGGCCUCCAGAAUUGCAUGAGCCAAUUCCUUAUAAUAAAUCCUUCUCUCCACAUAUACACACACAUACAUCCUAUUGGUUCCGAUUCUCUAUAGAACCCUGACUAAUACAGAUAAUUUGCAUUCAAGAAAAGUGAGCAUGAUUCGCAUUCCUUACGUGUGGGCUGCAUAUACUGACUUCCUUCCAAAGAGUACAGUGUGGAAAAUAGAGGGAGAAGAGUAACUUUACAGUGGAGAAGACUGGCAAACUACCUCAGCCAGGUGACCAAGGUCAACAUCAACAAUGACCAGUCAUGUUGAUGGUAUGUAUCCUUGAUAUCAUGAAAAUGGCACUGUACCUGUGAUCCUCCUCUCCUACCCCAUAAUCCCAGUCUAAUGAGAAAAACAUUAGACAAAUACAAAUUGAUGAAUAUUCUACAAAAAUACCUGACCAACACUCCUCAAAAGUGUCAAGGUAAUCAAAACCGAGGAAACUCAGAGACUUUCAAGGCCAAGAGGAGUCGAAGGAAACAGGACAAUUAAAUGUAGUAUGGUAUCCUGAAUAAGAUCUUGGGAGAGAAAAAGGACAUUAGGUAUAAACUAAAGCAAUCUAAAUGAAGUAUGGACUUUGGUUAAUGACAAUGUAUCUAUAUUGGUUCAUUAAUUGUGACAAAUAUACCAUAUUAAUAUAAGAUGUUACUAACAGAGGAAACUGUGUGGGGUACACAGGAUCUCUCUGUACUAGUUCCUUAAUUUUUCUGUAAAUGUAAAUCUACUCCAAAAUAAAAAGUUUGUUUAAAAAAAAAGAAAAAGGAGGAGGAGGAGGAUGAAAAGAUGGAAAAAAUAAACUAGGGAGGCACCUUUUAGAGUUCUACUUCUCACAGCAAAAAGAACUACAAGUUAUUCCACUACCAAGAAGCUUGCAGGGUUAGCCACAAAACCAAUGAUAAGUAUUGUACCUGGGAAAAUAAUCAAUUAAUCUUUGCAAUUCUAGUCAGAUCAUACUGUUGGACACCACAUCAUAGCAAUGGCACAUGAUAGAUUACAACAAAUGCUAUUGUUUAAAAAUUAUCCAAAAUGUAGAAAUAAAGCAAAAGAAGAUUGCUCGUGCUUUCAAUAUCAUAUACCAGACCAGCAUCUAUCAGGCCCAUCAAGCAUUAUUUCAUUUUUUAAAAGAUGGACUCUUGUUGAUUAACUACUUUCUGUUAAUUAAAGCCAAGACUCUGAAGUCACGUGUUAACUUGUAGAUUUUUGUCUAAUGGAGAUGCAAAACAUUAACUAGUUAUAUCUCUGACUUAGCAAAUUUAUUUUGGUAUUCCUUUCCUAAUAGACUGUGUAAUCUUUUUUUUCUCUAAUUUUUCUUUCAAUCAUUCUGUGCACGUUGCUGGUUUCCUCAUCAAUAAAUCAACAGCUCAUUGACACACAUUUGCUUUAUAUUUGUAUGAGUGUAAUGUUUUUAACUUUUUUUUAAAAAAUAUGCUUUUAUCGUGCAUGUUCAAGGAGCUAUUUUGUGUUGCAAUUAGAUGACAUAGAUCACUGGUAUUUGAUCAUGCAUGUUUGCAGUACAUAUAUGAGAAGAAGCUCUUGGUGGCUUCUGUUUAUCAAAGCAGUUCUUUAAUCAAAGUUUUUAAAACCAAAAACUGAAACUAAGACCUAAAGUUUCUUUAAACUAGAAAACCUAGAUAUGUCAUGAAGAUAGCCACUGCUACUCAAAUACAACUCGUACUUGGAAGCCAAUCCAUACAUUGCCUUUCUCUUAAAAAGCACUAAUUUACCAAAUAUAGAGCUCCUGACCUUGAUUCAGUGUUCACAAAAAUUGUAAAAAUUUUAAAUAUAAUCAAAUCAUGCCUACAGAGAAUGUGUAUUUUUAGCAAAUUGCACCAAGAAAUUGGCAGCAAGGACAAGAUUCUGCUUUUCCCUGUUGAACCAUCCUGGCUGCCAAAAGAAAAGGUUUUUGAAACAAAGAAAGAGCUUUAAAAAGUUUUUAUGACACCCGUGAUACCAGUGUGACAAAAUGUGCACAGGACUUUUUCUGUCCUCUGACAAUUUUAGAAUGAAGUCCCUGAGCUGAAAACAGAAAGUGUGAAGUGUUAUCAGAUUCCAAAAAGAGCUGCCCAGGAGAUGCCAAGAGAUGGAAGAAUUUGCCUGGAUCCCAUCAACUCACCACAGCCCUUCCUAUAUGUAAGAACAGGAACCAGAAAGAGAAGGGACCCUUCAGAAUCAGAGCCCAGGGCUACGGUUUUUUACUCUCCACCGCUGCCCAGGCUAAGAGUUACCUUCAGAGUUGGGCCCUCAGUCAUGCCUGCCCAAGUGCGGGUGGUGGCACCUCAAUCCCCGGCUAGACAGCUGCAUAGGCAGCUAACUUGCUUCUGUCUGCCCUGUGUGUCUCUCUAAGCAAGAGAAAAGAGAGGAAAGAGACAAGAGGCUAGAUGCAGGAUAGGCAGGAGCUGUCCGGGAGCCUCCUGCUCUCCGUAUCUCACAUGGCAGGGUGAGCAGGAUAAGUAGACACCGUGGGAGGGUGCCAGGCUUGGUAGCUUACUAAAGAAGGCUGUGGGCUGACCAUGAAGUGCAAGGAGGGGGGCAUCCCUUUGCGGGCAGGAGCUGGGGAGGGGCUUACCUAGGGGUGAAGCUGGAGUGACUCUGCCAAGCAAAGAUAAUGUGCGUGGUGAAGCCGCCUAUAGAGUCUCCUAAGGAACAAACCCGUGUCUCCAAAAUAGCCAGCCUCCUAUACAGAGCGCGUCUGCCGAGAGAGAAUGACAUUACACCAGUUAAACAAAACACCUUUGCCCCUCUUCUGUAAUUCCCUCUCUCCUUGUCCAAAGGUGGAAGCAAAAAGGAGAAGGGAAGGCGGACAUAAGAGAACAUAGAUUACACUCAAGUCUCACCUGCUGCCUGGCUGGUUCUGGGGAGCAAGAGAGGGGAUAUGAGGUUGAGUGAGUGAUUGAAGCUUAAAAUGAACCGGACCAGAGUGUGCUUUUAAAUAUCGCUUGAGUAACUGAAAGUAAGCAAAAAGCUACGGGAUUUGCCUAAAGCAUCUUUAAGUGAUGGAAAAGAGAGAUGCAACUAAUCAAGUUUGAAAGCAUUUUUAAUGUUAAGAAUGUGAUAUUAGGAUUUAUUAAGAUUCAGUUAUGGGACAAACAGCUCGAUUUUCAAGAGCUUCAUUUUCUCCAGGCAAUGAUUUACCUUUCUCAUCGAAGAGAGGAUCUUAUAUUGGCUAUGUUUUAAAGUCACAUUAAUAGGCUGUAACAGACUAUGAAGAAAUUCUUUUUAGAUUCAAGGUAACUAGAGACCAUUUGCCUCUCAUCAUAAUGAUCUACUAAACAUUUAUAUAGCACUGACUAUGUGCCAAGUACUGUCCAAGGUGCUUUGCUUAUAUUAACUCAAUAUAUAUAAAAAAUUAAAAUCCUCUGAUAUUGCUAUAUGUGAAAGUUCUUUACAAGCUAUAAAAUGCAGCAUAAUUAUCAGAGGAUAUUACCGAUAUUAUAAGAAUAACAAUUACUAAGAUAACAAGAAUGUUUCCUUGUUUCAGAAGUCAAUUGGUGUUGAUGGGAAUUUAAGAAAAAAAUGUCCAGUGCAGCAUAUUCUUUCAUCACAACAUACCCCAUUCCUUCUCCAACAGGCAACCUCAUGGAGACCAUGGACCCCUCUGCCAUCCCACCCAUCUUUGAACCAAUGCAAACUGUCUUCAGAACUCAUGCCCUUACAUAAACAGGCUCUACAGGCAGAUCACCUGAGGUUGAAAGGUGAAGCCACCUGGACUUCUGGGUCCAGUAGAGACUUGGAGAACUUUUCUGUCUUACAAAAGGAUUGUAAAAUGCACCAAUCAGCACUCUGUAGCUAGGAUUGUAAAACGCACCAGUGUUCUGUAGCUAGCUAGAGGUUUGUAAAAUGCACCAAUCAGUGCUCUGUAGCUAGCCAGAGGUUCGUAAAAUGCACCAAUCAGUGCUCUGUAAAAACACACCAAUCAGUGCUCCGUAGCUAGCUAGAGGUUUGUAAAAUGAACCAAUCAGCACUCUGUAAAAUGGACCAAUCAGUGCUCUGUAAAAUGGACCAAUCAGCACUCUGUAAAAUGGACCAAUCCACUCUGUAAAAUGGACCAAAUGGGAGGGGACAACUCAGGGAAUAAAAGCUGGCCACCCCAGCCCUCAGCGGUAACCUGCUUAAGUCCCCUUCCAGGCUGUGGGAGGUUUGUUCUUUCGUUCUCCACAAUAAAUCUUGCUGCUGCUCAGUCUUGGGGUCCGCAUCACCUGUAAGAGCUGUAACACUCACUGUGAAGGUCACGCUUCAUUCCUGAAAUCAGCGAGACCAUGAACCCACUGGAAGGAACAAACUCCGGACACAAGGGCAGGAGUUUGAGACCAGCCUGACCAACAGGGCGAAACACUGUGUCUACCACAAUUACAAAAAUUAGCUGGGCUUG